GUUGGCUAUCCUUGCCCUAUGUGAUUUUGUUUGCACAAGUCCAUAGCAUCAUUACCUCAGACAGUUCCCAUAAGCCCUGAUGGUUAGUGAAUCAGAGUUGGCAUUUAGCAACAUCUGGAGUGCACCAAAUUGAUGGUAACUUCUGAAGGCAUCUAUAGAUUGAACAUUUUUCAUGUCUUCCUCAGAACUAUAUAGAAUAGAGAAACUCUGGUUCCCAUGUGCAGUGGAGGCUCUGAAUAUUCCCAGGAGCCUUCAUUGUAUGGGGGAGCCAUGAGAUUAUAGGGCGAGCCCCCUACUGUCACUGGUCUUUAGUGCUUCUGGUUUCUCUCCCCUCGCAUUUGGACUCAGUAAGUUUGAGAAAGUGUGGAAAAGAUGGUAUCUCUGGCAGCAGAGGAUUGGUGUGGCAAAAAGGCUUGCCUUAGGCUGAGCAUAGAAAACCUGAGGUAAGGGAAGAACUCAUGUUUUCUCUGAGAAUUCUCCAGGAAACCCUGGGAAGGCUAUGCCGAUUACAAAUCAAGAUGGAGGAAUUUCACUCAUUGCUAAUGCUAAUGAAUAAAUUGAAACUGAAGCUUAUUUGUGGUGGAUAGGGCUCUCAGUAUCCAUAAGCCUCAGUUGCUAUGUGCUCCGUCCGCUGUCAAAUAUGACUCUGAAUACCAGUUGCUGCGGAUUGCAAGUGGGGAGAGUUUUGUUGCACUCAGUUUCUGCUUGAGGGCAUCUAGUUGGCCACCGUAAAAUCAGGACAUGGUCCGGAUGGGUCACUGGCCUGAUCCAGCAAAGUUCUUCAUUUUUUAAAAUGUUUUUCAGUGUAUUGCAGUAAUUUGUCCUUUGCAGUAAUGGAUUAGAAUUUUGUGCACAACUAUUUCUCUGACUUAAUGAGAAAUGUUGAACAGCCAUCCCCUUGAAGUCUGCAGUACAGGUGUGCUUUCUGUAGCAUCAGCAGCUCCCAAACACAACUCUGAUGAUGUACUAGCAACAUGAUCCACAAUGCACUGACCUAAAUGGGACUAAGUGGGUUUAAAGAAAAGCAUUUGGGCUGAUGUUUGGGAGUUUAAGGUUGCAGUCCAUCAUGCACCACUGUUAGAAAUCUCAACAGGAAUAUUGCCUUUAAUGCGCAUCCCUCAACUUAAGAGGGUUAUGGGUCAUGUCUUUGGGCUAUUAGUGUGUGUGAGAGAGAGGUCACAUUUCUGCCCCUGCUUCACUUUCUUGGAGCCUUUUUCACAGCUGUCUCUUUUCAUGGCUGUAAUGCAGAAGAUUCUUACCAAGGAUGAGAUAUUUAAAAGGAUGAGAUAUUUUAAAUACUGCCAGAGGAAAUGGAAGGCAUAAUGUUGUAGUUCCUUUGCUGCAAUCAUUACAUUUCUGAAUGUCUGCUACUGAAUAACAAAAGCUGUAAUUCCCAUGUAACCUCCAGGAAAGCUGUAAAUCAAGGAUGGGAACCUGUGGCCCUCUAGAUGUUGGACUUCAACACCCAUAAUCAUCAGCUUGAAUGACCAGUGGUCAGGGAUUUAUUUUAUUCUCAAUUGUUUUAGUUGAUGUUUUAAUGUAUUGUAAACUGUUUUGAAAUUUGUUCUUUAAAAUAUAAAGUGGUAUAGAAAUGAUGAUGAGUCAAUCAGCAUUAGGAAGGCCACAGAGUCCCUAUCAGUGCUGAGAGGUGGAAUGUGAAAUGCUAAGGGUGAAGUCAUGUAGAAUCUGCUUUUUCUAUAGAUUUGCAAGAUCUGGCUGAUUAUUGUGGAGAUCUUGAAUGUAGCCACAUCCACUCUGAUCCUGUCCUCUAAUCACACUGCCUGCUUCCUUCCAACAGCCUGAGUGCUUAUUGUCAAUCUUUUUGGAUUCCUGGAAAUUCCUCAUAAGUUUGUCCUAAAGAAGAACCCCAAAUUCAAACCAAAAUUAGCUUUAGGACACACUGUAUAUUAUGGCAACUCUAUUCCCAAGUACAGUGGUACCUCGGGUUAAGUACUUAAUUCGUUCCGGAGGUCCGUUCUUAAUGUGAAACUGUUCUUAACCUGAAGCACCACUUUAGCUAAUGAGGCCUCCUGCUGCCGCCGCGCCCCCAGAGCACAAUUUCUGUUCUCAUCCUGAAGCAAAGUUCUUAACCCGAAGUACUAUUUCUGGGUUAGCGGAGUCUGUAACCUAAAGUGUAUGUAACCUGAAGCGUAUGUAACCCGAGGUACCACUGUAUUAUAAACUUUGCUUAGUUUUUCUGUCUCCUUUCUUUGCAUAGCUCAACUGCUCUUAGACCCAUGGCUCCAAAGGAAAGAUUUCCAGUCUAAUUACCAUUCAGGGAGGAGGGGAUGCAUAUAAUCCAGAUGGGGAGGCCUCAUGGGCCACAUCUGGCUCACGUGCCAGUGCUUUCCUCUCUUUGAUCGAUGUCUUUAACAGGCAGAAACCAACAGCUGCAAAGCUUUCCCCACAGCGACAUCUCCAUGCUGGGGCAAAAAGCAUCACUUGUCAAUUUCUCUAUGAUCUGCAUCUGUUAGAUGCUCCAUCCUUCAGAAAGGUUGCAACACACCAAUGUUUUCGAAAAGGGGUCCUGUGGUUUAGUUUAUUAGGCUGAGAGCUGGGUGACUGUUGUGUUUUCUUUUACACCGUCAGAAACGCCGUGGAACGUGAUCAGAGGGUAAGCUGUAAAACUCCACCAUUAAUCCACCCUCUCCAGGUGGUGUUCCCAUAUUUAAUGGCUUAAUGACCUAUUUGUUUCUUCAAAGGAGACAAGCACCUCUAUUUCAUAUUUCCCCAUGUUCAUUAACUUUGACAAACUAAUCCUUCUGCAAAGGUUGUAAGAUGGGCCAGAUCAUUGUAAAGAUGAAGAUUUCAGUCAGGUACAUAGAUAAUGCGAUAAAAUGAGUCAGGAAUGCAUUGGCUGUUUCUAUGGGGUCGUAAAUUGUGUUUACUUGGUUUCAUUAUUGAAAGAGGUGUUUGCUUGUACCUCUUCUGCACUGAAGUAUGCUACCCAACAGCUUGUGUGCUCUUUCUAAUGAUACACGAAGCAAAAUUGUUCAAAUGGGAUAGGCCAGGUUCAGCUUCUGUGUUCCACAGGUGGGUGAUUAGUAUGAGCUAAUUAUCUUAACAAGUUGUCAACUGAUAAACAAGAGGAUGGCAGAUGCCCAUAGAGGUUGGCUUGACAUACCACUAGCUCACUGCUAGACUUCUCAUUCACCAUUUACAGGGGUUUUUUACUACAUGUUCCAGAUACAGCAUAUUCCUCCUAGGUACACAUUGAAACCUGCAUUUGCGUUAUAUUUUACAACAUGAAAUACUUAUUCUUCCCAUAAACUUCCAUAGGAGACUCAUAGAAUAUGAACAGACUUUAAGUGUAUGUGUACUUCUAGUAGUAGAAACUGAUUAUGGUUUUAUUGUCCCAUAAUGGUACCUUUCCCCCAUCCGUCAAACAACCAAAGUUCAAAUUCUGUUUUGGAAAGCAUUCUGUGCUGAUAUGGCCAUGAGUAAUUUAUAUGUACAUCUGUCAAAGUGCAUCUGGACCCUUUUCCAACUCAUCAGGCUAAUGCAGUUAAGGAAGCACACCCGUUCUCUUAUGUACUACAUUUUUUAGUUGAACGCCCAACCAUCCUCGCUUCCUGUCACACUCUUUAGUCUUCAGCCUGAAUGUCAAUGGCAGGGUGAGGCAAGUACCUAUUUGGACAUCUAUCUGCACAACAACUGGCCUAAAGACCAAAAUCGUGUGCCAGGAAAUGCAUUUUGCCUGGGCCACAGAUCCCCUCAACAGCAGGGUUGGAGAUACCUGAGCAGCCAUCAGCAGAAGUAGAUUAACAGUCACUACUGUAGUAAACAGAAAGAUUAAAGCUACAUUUUCUGGCCUUGACGUUAGAAUGUUCUCCUAAUAGUAGAAGAAACAAGGAAGAUACCUGGUAGCAACUGUCAUAGGGAAUAGUGGAAGGGCUGGGGCUCAGUGCAUUGCAGAAUGUCCCAGGGUCAGUCCCUCAUGUCUUGAAGUCAGGACAGGAAAUAUCCAUCUGGAACUCUGGAGUUCUGCUGCCACAAUGAACUAGAGGGACCAAGGGGUUGACUUCCGGGGUGGCGCCAUCGGCAAUGGCGGACUCCCUCUGAACUGGAGGGACUAGCUCUGCGUGAAACGGGUCUUUUCCGCUACAGCGAAGCGGGGACCCUGCUAAAAAUCACAGGUGGAUGAAGCCUGUGACCAUGGGACUCGGCGGGCACCCUUAGCGCCCCCCACAACCUGCAAAGGAACCCACUAACGGGCUCCGAAGUGAAGAGGGGGAAGUGGCGCGGUGCUGUGAGUCAACUGCUAUUUCUGUGGAGCGAAGCCACAUAGCCGUUGCCGGAGAGCGCUGCCUUUUUCCUGGGACAAUUUGGCUUCUAAAAUAAGCACCCGUGAGUACUUAAAAUUUGAACAAUCGGACUUUAAAUAAGGACUUGCAUGCAGAAAGGAAUUGGACUUAAAAAUUUACUUCAAUUUGGUACUGAAACGGGAAGGUCUAAACAGGAAGUCAGCCUUCCGUUUAUUUGUAGACAGAAUAAAGCAAAGACAACAUAAACUAGAGCUCAGAAAAUCGCCUCUAAAGGAUUGGAUUUUAUCAUUUAAAAUUGUGGAACCCCCCUUCGACAGCAGGAGAAGAAGGGGGAUCUUUUUCGGACUGUUUAAACCUGCAGAAGUGAGUUUAAAGUAAAGUAACUUUCCACUGUCCUGAUCCUGGAGCGGGGUGUCAGGACUGACGUUUGAAGCUCAUUGACCAGAGACAAACGUUUUUGACAGAUAGUUAAAGGAAGAGAAACAUAGUGAUUCCACUGUUUCCUUUCGCAUUUUAAGGAACAAAUAUUGACAAAAUAUCUCAAAAAGGAUACUUUAUUGCAAGAACAAAUAGAAGUUCUCCCCCUAGAGGGAGACUGUGAAACUGUAACUAAUUCCAGGGAGCUUGCAGCUGUCACAGAUUACAAUCAUGGGAAUGGACUUGUGACCUUGUAGGACAAUGUAUUCAGAGGCUCUGUUGUGUGCUCUCUGGAAAACAAGUGCCCUACUGGAACAGUUAAAUGAGAAGAUGGAUUUGAUGACUAAUGCGGCCAGAAUUUUUGAACAGGCAGUGGGAAACUAUGUGGAGCCCACCCAGGAAUUAGAACAGGAGUGCGUCCUGACAGAGCAGAUGAGAGAAGAGGAUGUUGCUGAAUCUUGGGCGCCAGAGAUGGAGGGAGCUGCGGCCUUGCAGGAGCAUGAGCUUUUGGACUUGACAAAUGAACUUGGAAAAAGCCAGAUUUGGAAAGAUAAAGUUUGGAUUGGUUUGGAAAUGGGGGGUUGGAUAGACCCCCCUACGCAGGGAUGUUUGGACUUUCCGAGUCUGGCAAUGGGCCGUGAGAUGUUUGGAGCUGUGGGGGCUCUCAAUUUUGGAGGGAUUCUGAAACAUGUUUUUAAAUACCACAUGGAGUUGAGUCUGGACUAUGGAAAAGGGGCUGAUUUGCUGAAAAGUGUCAAAAACAUCACCAAGCUGGAGUUCCCACGAGUGAAAGGAGAAUAUGAAGAAGAGCUGCGGAAGGGACAUGGAAGAGAUUUAAGGGCCUCGGAUAUAAGGUUACCAGGUUAAUGCGCUAGAUCGAUGGGAUAAAAAGGACUGACAAAACCCGGGACCAGGAGGAAGGGACGCUGGAGGAAGACUCGAUUAUUUUUAUCUCUUUUUUUAUUACCAGGAUUGUUUUAUAAAAUUGAUGAAUGUUAGAAAAAUGCUGGAAUGAAAUUACUUGGCUCUAGUAAAAAUGUUUAAAGAAUUAGGUAAGAAUAUUAUGGUUGUGAGAAGUCGGUAAAAAUAAGAUUUAAGUUUUAAGUUUUUAAGGUUUUCUAUAAGAUAAGAUGAAAAUAGAUUAAGGUAAUGUAAUGACAGAAUAUUAUGAAAUAUGGAAAGGAUUUGCUGCAAUAAUUAUUAACUAGGAUACAAAAAAAGGGAGGAGGAGGAGGUCAAAGAAAGAAGGUAAUGAAAGUUGAGGAUUUGAGAAUGAUGGAGUUAUUAUUGUCUGUUUGCAGACAAUAUUUUUGUUUUUUGAAUUUGUAUUGUUUGAUGUGGUUUGUUUUUUCUUUGUUUCUUUUUUUUCCCUUUUCUGCUUUGUUUUUUCUCUGUAAUUUAAAAAAUUUUCAACAAAUAUCAUUAAAAAAAUAAUAAUAGAGGGACCAAUGGUCUCACUGAGUAUAAGGCACAUUCCUAUGUUCCUUAACCCUGAAGAUCUAAUUCCUGGUUCAAACUUGAGAGGACAAACCAUCAUUUACUGGUCCAUGGCACUUUUGCACCUCUGUACCCAUGAAUCCAUUCUAUUUGCAUAAUAAUGUGUGGAUUAACUCCUACCUUGUUAUUGUAGGACAUUAUUUUUAUUAUACCCUGCCCAUCAGGCUGGGUUGCCCCAGCCACUCUGCAUAAAACUGAAGCCCACAAACCUGUUCCAUGUUAUCAAGUGUCCUGACUCUGAGUAUUGUGCAAUAUGAACCUGUAUUCUUAUAAAGGUGGUGUUUCUUAUUUAGUUGUCACAACUCUUGCACUUUCCAUGAUACGUUUAUGACACACUGACCUUUUCUCUGGUCUUUUUUCUAUACUUGAGAAAGGUGGGCGGUCCAGUCAAGCAAGCUAGUGCAUAUGUUAUUUGAAAGGUUACUGUGUUGCAGUAGAUGGUUUGACCUCGUUGAGUACGGAAAGUGAGGAAGAUUUCUCCUGGAGCAGAAAAUGCCACAUUUUUCUGUCUUGAAUAAACUACUAAUUUCUAGCUUGAACUGGUGAUGGAGGAUCUUGAGGUUCAUUUCCAGAAGGCAAUCCAGUUGACCUUGUUUGCCACACUUAGAACAGGUACAUACACUGACAUAUGAGAGAGAAAGAGAGAGAGAAUAUUGCUGUGCAGAGAAUUUACAAGUGUUUCCCUCACCCCAACCACUCACAGGCACAAUUUGAAGUGAAGGAGAAUUUGUUUGGUGAAAUAGCUUGGGAGAACAGUGGUAAAAACUGUCUACUAGGUACUGUACGUUUUCUACAUAUCCGUGUGCUAUCUGUGCCCUAAAAGCAUUUGCCAGUGGGAUUCUGUCCCUGCCUGCCCCACCCCCCGAGGUGUCUAAUAUUUACUCAGGAUGGGAGAUAGGAUUUAUGUAUUAUGAAUCACACAGUUAUUUAGCCUCUAAGGAACUCAGGGCUGUUUGCAUGGUUCUGUUUCCCCCAUUAAUCCUCACAAUGGAAAUGUGAUUGGUUCAAGGUCACCUAAGUGUGGUGAGAGCCAGUAUGGUGUAGUGGUUAAGAGUGGUAGACUCGUAAUCUGGUGAACCAGGUUCGUGUCUCCGCUCCUCCACAUGCAGCUGCUGGGUGACCGUGGGCUAGUCACACUUCUUUGAAGUCUCUCAGCCCCACUCACCUUACAGAGUGUUCGUUGUGGGGGAGGAAGGGAAAGGAGAAUGUUAGCCGCUUUGAGACUCCUUCGGGUAGAGAUAAAGCAGGAUAUCAAAUCCAAACUUCUUCUUCUUCUUCUUCUUCUUCUUCUUCUUCUUCUUCUUCUUCUUAACAAGCUUUGUGGCUCAGUGAGGAUUUGAACUCAGGCCUCCUUGGUUUAACUUACACACUACACUGCUGUUGGUUCUGGUACCACUUCAGAUGGUAGCGAGGGUAGAGUAUUUUCUAAUUUCUCUAAUGUAAAAAACCCUCUCUGCAUGUAAUAAAGUAACACAUUUGAUUGUUACUAGUUUGUUUCUGGGCCCAACUGAAGUUGCUCAAGGUAGUAUUUUAAGCCCUUAAACAACGUAGGCCCCAAAUGUCUGAAAGACCGACUCCUUCCAUGUAGACCUUUCCAGGUGUUAAGAUCAUCACUGGGCAGCUCUUGGUCGUUCCUCCAUCUUUAGAAGCUUGGGGUGCUGUUGGCUGUUGAAUUCCUUCCCCGCAGAGGUGUGUGUGGCCCCAUAAUCAUCGAACUUUCAUCACAUGCUGAAGAGGUACCCUGGCCUAUCAUACAUACUUUUAGGAACCACUGUAGUUCUGAUUGUAAUUGGUUUGCAACUAGUUUAACAACUGGGAACUCUGGGAAUUGUAGCUCUGUGGGAGGAACUAGCAGUCUUUGAACAACUCUCAGAACCUUUGAAAGAAAUUACAGUUCCCAGUAUGCUUUGAGGGAACCCAUGGCUAUUUAAAGUGGAAUGAUACUGUUCUAAGUGCAGAUGUGACCUAAAUAUUGAACCAGGUUUAUGCUGUGUGUUUCUUUUUAAUGUUGUUGUAAUCACUAUACACACUGUGUAUUAGCACGCCUAUUCCUCUACUUGAACCAUCCAGUACUCUAAAUAUCCCUUAUUGCACAGUUAAUUGUGUUUUAAAGUUUCAAAUUAUUAUUUAGAAAAGAAACGCGGGGAAAAUCCACUCGUCCUCUUCCUUCAGGAAUUCUCCUGAACCCAUUACAGUUAAUUCUUGGGGCAGUUUUAUGUUUUCGUCUUCUCGUUUUUAUGUUAGCACAUAUAUAGUCUAACAUAAAAAUCUGCAGGGAUAAACAUAAAGUAGCAAAAGAAUAAAUACAAUGGGCAAACAUACCCAAAUUUAAAAAUGAACUUUUUUUUCAAACUACUAAAACUGCCAAAGUGGUGAAAUAAUAGAAGCUUAUCAGUGCUGGAGGAAAAGAAAGAAAAUAAAUAAGGAAAUCAAUGCCCAUAGUUUAUAUCAAUUCUCUAAAAUAACUAGGCUCCAGUUUGCAAAUAGCUGCUCUUGCAGAAUCCCCAUUCAUUUCAAUAUGGACUGAGCUUCCUAACCAUUUAUAAUGAUAUAAUGUUCCCUUGGUGGUAUUGAGAUGCUGAUGGCAGAUAGUAUCCAGGAACUAAUCAGGGGCUGAAGUGAGCAUGAAAGUAAGUACCUUUCUAUCUACCUAUCUUAUUUAUAAAACAAAACAAAACACGUUUUUAUCCUGCACUUUCCAUCUUAAUGGGACCCUCAGGGCAACUAACUGUCAGGUGUAUCAUAAAAUGAAAAAAAUGCAAUCAGUUUAAAAUAUCAGUAGCACAAUAUUAAAGCAGGAGGGAAAGCUAAAGAAUUUUCCCUAAAGAGGAGAAUGCAAUGAUAAAUGGGGAUCUAGACAGAAACAUUUUGACAUGGUGUCUCAAUUUUGGACUUAUCCACACUUAUCUUUCCUCUGCGCUUUGGGAGGCAGCAAAUAUUUUAUUGUGGAGGCCGAAGGGACCUCAGCCCCUAGGAGCUGGCUCCUAUGUUUGGCCACAUGUCAGAGCAUUUAUAUAAUGAUUAGCAACACACACACACAAUCUUCUCACAACAGCCUUGCCAAAUCAGCCAUUGCUUUCUUCCAGAGAAAGCAGGCAUUACAGAUCAUUCGUAUUUUGCAGAACUGGAGCAACUUUUCCUAUGACAAAUGCCCCAAGUUCAGUGUCUAUUGCAGGUCCAUUCCUUGAUCUAGACCAGGAUUCCAGAAUGCUCUGGGCUAAGGAGAAUGAAGUCCACUCCAGGACUUACAGAGAAUCCUGGAAGGAAUAAUCUUUGAAGUUGUACAGAAAGGAAAAACUUGAGAAUCAGUCUUCUUUAGUUUAGCUUUCUCUCCCCCCCCCCCAUCUUUUGUGUGUUCAUGCAAUCCCCCUGCCUUUGCACAAACAGACUUGUAUGAAUUGUGCCAUUCCUUGGUGUGCCAUGUUUCUGUCAGCCUGAGAUAAGAGUAGCUGGCUAUUAUCUCCCCUUAAGAAGCCCCCGGGUAACUUUAAUGGCCUGCCUGUACCAUCUUCAGUGCUCAACCAGUAAAAUAUAUUAGCUCACAAAGAGCAUCCUCCUUUCUUCAUAGAACUCAAGAGUAUGAUGAAUCUUCUACUGAUCUAUGGCAGUGGUGGUGGAGGGAGGAGGAAAGCGCAGGAGAAAGUCUGACUGGCAUUCUGGGACAAAAAGAAAGAAGAGAGAAAGCGGAUAUUUUAGAAAGAGAACAGGGAACCUUAUGGUUCGAACCAGCUCUUAUUUAAUACUAUGCAAAUCACUGUAUCUGUCAACUGAAUAUUACAUUCGCUUGUAAUGAAGGAAUUGACAUCUUGAUAGAAGACAAGAAAGCACAAGGCAUGUUUACAGUAAUUUUAGCAGUUCACUAAAUUAAACCAAUUAAAACUUAAUGUGUUGAUCUGCAUAGCCAAAAGCAACUGCUUCUUUUAUGUCAUUUGGCGUCUUAAGGGCUUCUUAUAUUCAAGAUUCAACAGCAGUUCAGCCAGGGGCCGUGCUGUCUGAGAGUGGUCUUUUCUUAUGCAGGGAUGCUUUAGGGGUCGGAUGCUCUGCCUUGGUGCAGCGGGUUAAAUCCUAAAACCUCAGUGGUGAUAGAAAUCUUCCAGAGGCCUGAGCCAAAACAACUUGCAUUGCCUUGUCUCUGUUCAGAGGACCUUCUCCUUGUUCUCCUGUCUCUGGAGGAGAGGAUGGUGGCUAGUGGCAACAGGACUAGCUUGAUGAUAGCAUCCCAUACUCUGGGUGCCUUUCUUCUUGGUCCUCUUCCCAAGAUUGAUGAGCAACAUCUCACUGCAGAACGUCCCAUGCAGUAGAUCCCAGAUUUGAUCCUUAGACUCUCCAGCUCAAACCAUCAAGUCGUGGGAACUCAUCCUUUAUGCCUGUGACCCUAGAGAGCUGCUGCUGGACAGAGCAGACAAUAUUGAGCUAAAUGGACAUUCAUUCUGAACUGGUACAAGUUGGCUUUCUAUGCUCACAACCACACCAUCCAUUUAAAGCACUCUUUUCUUCCUCCUCCUCCUCCUCCUCCUCCUCCUUCUCCUCCUCCUCCUCUUCUUCUUCAGUGAUCACUCGUAGCCAAGUAAGAUUGUCUUCCAUAAACCCAGUUUUAACAGUAGUCCGUAAGUGACUGUGGAGGCCACUUCUGGAUCCACAUGUCCUUCCACAGUGGGGACAUAGGUUUCCGGGCAGGAGUUGAUCAUGGUGAGGGUUUGCCAAACCUGCCUUCCUCUUAGCAAGUUUCUCCCUUUCGUCCUAAGUUCGAGUGUCUUCAAAGUCCAUGACACCUUUGGGAAAGGCUGUUCUCCAGGUGAAGCUCUCAGGCCAGUGUUUCCCAGUUGUUGGUAUUUAUACUAUUUUUUUUUAAGAUUUGACUUGAGACAGUCUUUAAACCUCUUUUGUUGACCACCAGCAUGACGCUUUCUAUUUUUAAGUUCAGAAUAGAGUAGUUGCUUUGGAAGCCAAUAAUUGGGCAUCCGCACAACAUGACCAGUCCAUCGAAGUUGAUGUUGAAGAAUCAUCACUUCAACACUGGUGAUCUUUGCUUCUUCCAGUACACUGGCAUUAGUUUGCCUGUCUUCCCAAGUGAUGUGUAAAAUUUUUUGGAGACAUCGUUGAUGGAAUCUUUCGAGGAGUUGGAGAUGGCAUCUAUAAGUGGGUCCAUGUUUCACAAGCAUACAGUAAGGUUGGUAGUACAAUAGCUUUGUAAACAAGCAUUUUGGUUUCCCUGCGAAUGUCCCAGUCCUCAAACACUCUGCACUUCAAUCAGGAGAAAGCCGCACUCACAGAGCUCAGGCAAUGCUGAAUUUCGGCAUCAGUGUCGGCCCAUGUGGAAAGAUAACUGCUCAGGUAGGAAAAAUGAUUGACAUUUUCCACAACCACACCAUCCAUUUAAAGCACUCUUAUAUCACUUUAACAGUCAUUACUUCCCCCAAAGAGUCCUGAGAAUUGUAGUUUGCUAAAGGUGCCAGUAUCACAGAGCUACAGUUCCCAGCCUCCUUAACACACUACAGUCCCCUGGAUUCUCCAUGACUGUUAAAGGGGCGUAGGAGUGCUUUAAACGAAUGGGGUGGAUGUGACCUGCGUCCACAACAUCCUUCAGGAAACUCACUCAAGACCUAUUUCAGAGUCAAGUCCUGACACCUCCCCUCCCUAAUCCUAACAGCUUAUUUUCAGAUCCCAAACACAUUACAGUUAGCACCUCCAUUUAUUUUAUCUGCCAUGUCAUUAGUUAAUGGUGGUGCGCUUGUUUGUCACAAAGUACAGCGGAUUCAAUUUCCUCCCUCCGCCCUCUGUCGAGACACAGCCAGGCAGCUUAUAUCUCUUUUGCAGCUGGUGCUUCAGGUUUCUGAGCAGAACUUUAUCUCCCUGUUGCAAGCGAGAUCUGUGUUGACAAGAAAGACCACUGCCAUUUGUUAGAGUCUCUGCUGUCAGCGCUGACUGAGUAUUGCUUUCCUAUUCUCCCCUUAAGCAGAAGGAUGUGUGUGAGUGAGCAUUUGUGUGUUUUAAGUAAACAGCAAAAGAGGCUUUUAUAGAUAUAUUUUGGGUAGAUGAUAGAAUUUGUCAUUCCCCCAACUCCUUAGUUUUGAAGCAGUCAAUCAGCACAUUUAUCUGUAGACUUUGAUAUCAUUUGCCUUCUGGUUGUUGUUACAGCAGGUAUAUUCAUCAGAUGAAUAUACUUCCUUCGGAAUAUAUGGAUUGUGGUUUUUAAAGCUGAUCAAUGAUAGCUUACAAAACCUUCCCCCUCCCAACUCCCAUAUUUUAAUGUUAUUUAUUAUUAUGCUUGUAUCCUGUCCUUUAAUCAUCCAAACAACUUUGUGAUGUAGGUUAGGCUAAGAGAUCGUGACUUUCCCAAGGUCACUCAGUGAGCUACAUGGGUGAGUGAGGAUUUGAACCCAAGCCUGCUAUGUCCUAAUCCAGCACUACACCACAUGGACUCUGCUUGCUGCCAUUCUCUUAUUUAUGGGCUCAUUUAUCCAUUGUUUCUGUUAUAUUUCAUGAUUAAAUAUUGUGACUAAACUUAUUCCUUGUUUAGUAUGAACAACUGACACACUAAGAGUGAGUGUCAGGGAUCAGCAUUGUGGGGCAUUUGCCAAUCCCCACACCCACAUCCAAACGUAGGUAGAGCUGUGGUCUAAACCAUUGAGCCUCUUGGGUUUGCUGAUCAGAAGGUCGGUAGUUUGAAUCCCCGUGACAGGGUGAGCUCCUGUUGCUCUGUCCCAGCUCCUGCCAACCUAGCAGUUCAAAAGCAUGCCAGUGCAAGUAGAUAAAUAGGUACUGCUGUGGCGGAAAGGUAAACAGCAUUUCUGUGCUCUCUGGUUUCUGUCAUGGUGUUCCGUUGUGCCAGAAGCAGUUUAGUCCUGCUGACCACAUGACCCGGAAUGCUGUCUGCGGACAAAGGCCGGCUCCCUUGGCCUGAAAGCGAGAUGAGCGCCACAACCCCAUAGUCACCUUUGACUGGACUUAACAGUCCAGGGGUUCUUUACCUUUUUUACACCCAAAUAGGGGCCCAUAGCCAAUCCUUGGAGCCCUCUGGCCCUGCUCAUCUGCCUCCUAACUGACAGGAGUGGAACUUGGUCAUAUACCACCCAGUAUGAGGUCAUUUAAACCCUCUGGUCAGCCCUUGCAGCGCCAAAGACGGGCAUUGGGAAAGUGGCUUCAGGGCUCUGACAGGGUCCUAGAGCUCUCCUACCUCCUUCCCAAUGCCUGAUUAGCACUUGCCCAGCUUGGGGAAGGAGGAAGGAAGACUUUUUAAAAACAACAACACAUUUGUCACUAUUUAUCACAAACUCUCCUAUCAUUGCACUGACAUUGUCUCACCCACCUGUAUAUAUGCCAGCACAACAUUGCCAUUUUGAUGGGCAAACUAAGUUCAGUUUGGAAAUAGUUUGAAUAAACUUGAUUAUUUAAUCCAAAUGAUGUCAGGCAGAGAAAUCCAAACCCCCAACCAGCAGAUCUGAGGGGGGUUGUUGUUCAUAGAAUCGUAAGAGUUGGAAGGGACCACAAGGAUCAUCUAGUCCAACCCCCUGCAAUGCAGGAAUCUUUUGCCCAACAAGGGACGUUUGUAUGGGUGUAGGUGUCCCUCUGAUCAGAACUGCUCAGUGACACCAACAAAGAUUCCUGCCUCAAUGGUGAGCACAAGUUACUGCUGAAAGUACUAUCCCUGCCAACAAAUCGUUCUAUGAUUUUACCAGUGUAAAAGUCUUUCAGUGUAUCUGCCCCUGUUCUGUGGAACAGGAUCCCUGUUGAGAUAUGACAUGUGCUCUCUGUUUGUACUUUCCAGAAAUAUUUCUGAUUCAACAAGCUUUCCCAGCUGGGUUAAAAGGUCUCUCUGCCUUAGGUGCUUAUUGUUUUCAAACGUAUCUCUAGUUGUCCUUUUUUUGACUGUUUCAGAAGCUUAUUUUUAGUUGUUACUAUGUAAAUCACAUUUACACUCAUGUGGAUGGCAACUUACAAAUUAGCAUCAUGGCGAGAUGCUAAGGCUUAAAGUCUUCUGGACAGCUCAGUUAAGCUCAGUAUCCCAAAUGCUGAAGCUGUUCACAAGGCAAGUGGCAUGAUUUGUAAAGGCAAAAGUUAUUAACGACAUCUAUUAUGUUUAAAAGUUGAUUAAAUUGAGCUGAUCUCUCCUACUAAGUGAGGCUUGAUGCUUUCUGAACUGAGCCGGCAAAUGAUUUACACUGCAGUCAUACGAACGUCUACUCAGAUCACUGGAUGGAAGAACCUGUCCAUUUUGGUUCUCCCAUUUUUUUGUUUCUGCAGUCUUAAACUCAGUUCUUCACAUUUUUGCAGCAAUUUGCCAUUAAAAAAAUCCUCUUGAAAACUCAACAGCAUUCUAGUGUGAAUCUAUCCUAAUAAUCACAUAUUGCAGUUUUGACAAACAUACACAUUUUUGCAAGCAAUUUCCCCUAAUAUGAUGAAUUUGCAGGUUAUUUUCACUAACAUGUGCAUUUAUAUGUACACCUUGCCCUAAUAUGUGGAUUUUUGUGGAACACUGCACUGCAAAUUUGGAGAAACGUUAACUUUUAAGGAUGCUAGUGCUGUGGUUCGAUUAUUGUUUCAGAAAGUAUGAAUUAGCUGUGCUCAUCUUUAAAUACAAACUGAAUUGAAUUCCAUCUCCAUCCCAAAGAUGUGAGCGUCACUGAGUUCAGGGGUACGUGUGUAUGGCAUUACAGCCUUAAUCCUAUGUGUAUGGCUUUCUUUUCAUUCAGGCCUAUUUAGGGGGAAAGAAUCACUAUAUGAUUCUACACUGCAAGAACACUAGUAUUAACCAUAAACUCAUCUCUUUAAAAAACAAAAACAAAAUCAUCUGUAUGAAUAUAGCCCAAUUUCAGUCAAAGUCAAGGAGGAUCUCAGCAUCCGAAAGCAGAGGAUAUAAUACAUAUAUCAACUGACCAAGAAUAAGGUUUGAUAUCAGUAGAAAAAUAAGUUGCAAAUCUUGUUUCCUGGAACGUAAGUGAGGGCACACAUUUCAAGGUGUAACUAAUCUAAAUCCCUUUUACAAUAAUAGAAAAAUAACAGCUACAGCAGUUGUACUCUGGGUGUUGCUAAUGGCUAUGAAAAUUGCCUAUUCUUUGAAGAUAUUUGUCUCGACUGAGAGUGAGAUGUGAGCAGGGAAGAGCUAUAGAUGAUUAAAAGAGGAAAAUGCUGAAGAGAAGCAUGUUAAAAAGAAAAAGGGGGAAAACACAUUAUAUUAUAAUGGGAGGAUUUGAUUCAUUAGCGCAUGAAUCUCUUGUGCUCUCUUGGUAUUCAGACCAAUCAUACCUCACAGCUGGCAUUUAACCCAAGUCAUAGCUCUAGUUGGUGAACAAAAUGUGAAAAUAACUUUUCUGAGCUCUUCCCUAACAUUUCAGUUCGUGUGGAUCAUUUAUUAUUGGCUCCCUUGGUACUCUUGGCUUGGUGGAGAAACAGGCAGUGGAAAGAGUAGAUCAUUACAUUUUAUUGUGUAGAUUGCGGAGAGCUUCGCCAGCCACCAUGAAACAACACAUAACAAUUAUGCAAGCUGAAUGGGCCAUAAAUUAGGAACAAAAGCAGUCUCCUCGUGCAUGUGCAGCCUUCUAACUUCAGAAAUCAGUUUCAGGUAGAAUGUUCUAAUCAACGCUGAACACAAGGUGAGAACUUGAUUCACCCAAGUGUCCUCCUGUUGAAGUCAGUUGGAUGGACUUGGGAGUAAGUGGAAUAUGCCUCUUUCAGUGGCUGGGAUAUGUUACGCUGCUUUUGCAUAUCAGUGUUUUUAGCUUUUAUUUUGUUUUAGCUUUGCAUUGGUCUUUAAGUUGCUUUAAGUUUACUUUUCAUAAAACGAGAGAGAGAGAGACUAAUACAUCCAAUAAAUAACAGCAGCAACAUGGACUGAAGCCCAAAUAAAGAAGCUGAAAGGACUCCAAGUGUUGCCUAAUAAGGAAGGAAGGAAGGAAGGAAGGAAGGAAGGAAGGAAAGAAAGAAAUGUAUUGGGACUGCAUCUAACUUAGGAGUCUGAUAAAAAAAGAUGCUAGUUUCAGCAGUGUGUGUGUGUCUUGCAGAGAACGUACACAAGUUGAUGAAUGUAGACAUUCACAUGUAAGUGCUGCCAAUCCCCAAUAACUUUGAGGAAUGUCUUAAUAGAUAUGUAUUCCUCACGUUCCAGGCAUAUGCUGUGGAAUGCCAGCAACAAUACUUAGGUAGGUGUCAUCAUUCAGGAAUGCAUCUCUAUGAGUUUUUGAACAUUCACAAAAGUCGUCUGGUAUUUUCAGCGCUGUCCAAAUUUCUGACAUCUACUGCACCAUAUGUGUGCAUAACUAUACUUGUUUAGGGAAUGUGCAUCCUGCUUUUAAACUUAAACCUUAUAAAAGCAAUUACACAAGCAAAAUAAAAAUAAAAUGCAACAAUAAAAUAAAUCUAGAACUACAGAAGCAGGUUGUUAAAAACAACAGAAAAUGCUAAAACAAAAAUGUGAGCAGCCAUAAAUUUCAAAUAAAUACACCUCUUAAAUAAUAUAUAAAGCAACAACAAGCAAAACUGCAUAUAACUAAUGAUUAAACAACAUGUUUCAGAGUCCAAUACUUCAACAAAUUAUUCAUGAAAAUGCCUUGAAAAAUAAAAAAAAACAGCCUUAAUCCUAGUGCCCAAAACUCAGCAAUGAAAGUGCCUGGUGACCUUCUCUUGGGUGUGCUUUCCAUAAAUGAGGAUGUGGGACUAUUCAGAGAAUGAGCUCUGAUGCCGGAUCCAGUUCAUUCAUACAAGAAGUGAGCCACGUGACUUCGAUUACACAUGAACAAAGGAUAAAUUGGAGGAGUUGCCUUUCAGAAAUUGCCAGUGGGUCCAGGUGAAGGUUUUGGCUAUGAACACUAGGAAACAGCUUCACUGAGGGCUCUCUGUGCCGGCUGUCUCUUGCCACCCCUUAGCUCCCCAGAACACCAGCUUACAAUGUGCCAGGUCAGAGGGAUAGGCACCCAUUUAGUACUUUGAGGCCUGACUGAUCUUCCUGGCAAAUCAUAGAGCAUGGGUAGGCAAACUAAGGCCUGGGGGCCAGAUCUGGCACAACUGCCUUCUAAAUCCGGCCCGCAGACGGUCCAGGAAUCAGUGUGUUUUUACAUGAGUAGAAUGUGUCCUUUUAUUUAAAAUGCAUCUCAGGGUUAUUUGUGGGGCAUAGGAAUUUGUUCAUUUUUUCCCUUUCCAAAAUAUAGUCCGCCUCCUCCCCACAAGGUCUGAGGGAUAGUGGACCAGCCCCCUGCUGGGGGAAAAAUUGCUGACCCCUGUCAUAGAGCUUUGACAAAAAUCAAGAUCUCUUUGAGCACCAUCAGGCCAAACUUGGAGAAGAUGAACCAGAACUGUUCAAAUCCAACUGUUCCACUUGGAAAUUGGAAGUUGCUGGUUUGGCAAAGAUCCAGUGCCCUAGCCAUUUAUCAGGACAGCCUACAAUCAUAUCCAAAGUCCAUUUCAGGGGUCUAAUCCAGUCCACCGGUCAGUUUAAUCCGGCCCCUGUGGCAGUUCAUUUCCGGGGGUAAAAUCCUUUAAAAAAACCCUCAACAACUUCAACCCUAAAAAACCUGAAAAACUUCAACCCUAAAAAAAGCUCUUUGGUGGGCCCUCACGGCCCUUCACUUCAUCAAAUCUGGCCCUCUUUGAAAAAAGUUUGGACACCACUGCUGUAGAGUGUGCCUCUGCAUUCAGCACUUGAUGGCUGCCCAGAUUUGAGCAAUAUAGUCAUAUCAUCUCUAAGACCAAAUAAUAUAACUGAUGUUGCAGUAUUUCUGUGUCUCAACGUAAGAUGUUGUAGACUCUGAGCCAGGAAACCUCAGGUUUGGGUACAACUGUCACCUGAUGGAUCUCCCAGUUCAUUAAUGUAAAGCAGUGAACAGGAUAUGACCCCACUUUGCACAGCUCCUAUGGCCCAAACUGUAUACGUCCACAAAAAUUAAGGUGAUAUUUAUCCAUAAUAAAUACAAAAUAGGAAGUACAAAGCACAAGGGGGCUCUUCAGUAGUUACGGUACUUCUAAAAAUAGAUGGUCUCUAUGGCAAUAUUCCACUAUGCCCUUGAAGGUGAAAGCAGUUUUGCUUAGCAGAAGCAUUUCAACACAAAUGAUGGCUCUUUACUAGCUUGAUACAAUUGCCAUUGUCAAAGCUGUAUGCUCUUAAGCACACAGACUAGACAAAUGGUCUUUAACACAACAACAACAACUUGCAGUAGACCGUUUAAAAUGCAUUUAAUGUAUUCAUUACAUUAAUGGUAGCAUGUUUUCAGCCCAUGUAUUAAGCUAGGUUUUGCUGGAGAGUUAAGUCACAACUAACUGAUUUGCAAUUUCAAGAAUGUUCUGCUAUGAAAAGUGGUUUAGCUUUAAAAAAAAGCAAAUGUGGACGGACAGACAAAAUGGAGAGGCUGCAAACAAGUGCUGCAAAGUUCUUUCUAAACCUAAAGCACUGCUGUCCUCAUAGCAAUGGAUUCUGCUCCAUUUUCUGACUCAAACAAUUCUUGAAAAGGUACAAUAAUAGGACCUAAAAUGUGUCUCUAUGCACACCAUGGCCUCCAAUAUAUGUUUCAAAGAGCUGGCAAACUCUGUCACAAACCCCUGGAGAUGCCACUCAUUAGGGCUCCGCAUCCGACAUUUGUUGCUGAGAAGUACAUCAUUAAACCAGAAUUCACUUCUUCCACAAUGUUGCUUCCAGUGUUCUGGUAAACAUCAUAUGGAACACCUCCCAUGCUAUAUCACAGAGAGAGGGAAUCUGUAGCCUUCCAGCUGUAAUUGGAUUCCAUCAUCAUAGCUGAUGGUCAGAAAUGAAGGGAGCUAUAGCCCAACAACAUUUGGAGGACCACAGGUUCCCCAUCCCUGCUAUAACACUUACUGAAGAAGGAGGUAAGAGUUUCUGCCUGCAUCUCCUUUUCACUUCCCCUUGUUGCUUAAGGUAAAGGGACCCCUGACCAUUAGGUCCAGUCGCGGACAACUCUAGGGUUGCGGCGCGCAUCUCGCUUUAUUGGCCGAGGGAGCCGGCGUACAGCUUCCGGGUCAUGUGGCCAGCAUGACUAAGCUGCUUCUGGCGAACCAGAGCAGCGCACGGAAAUGCCGUUUACCUUCCCGCUGGAGCAGUACCUAUUUAUCUACUUGCACUUUGACAGGCUUUCAAACUGCUAGGUUGGCAGGAGCAGGGACUGAGCAAUGGGAGCUCACCCCGUCACGGGGAUUCGAACCACCGACCUUCUGAUCAGCAAGUCCUAGGCUCUGUGGUUUAACCCACAGUGCCACCCGCGUCCCUUGUUGCUUAGCAGAUGUUUAUUUAGAGUUGCAAACCCAGAUUAAACUUUGUGUGACUAGCACCUAUGUUUGACAGCCCUGGAACCAUCCAAGUGGACUGGGGAAAUCCUGGGCUGCAUUGAACCAUACACAGCAACCCCUGGAUUGACCCAAAUCAGCCCUAUUCAGUUUGUGAUCUGGGAUUUGAUCAGAACUGGUGCGCAGCUCUACUGUUAAUUCCCCUGAGUGAACACUUUAUGACUGAAGAAUCAACUUCCAGAAAUUAGAAUGUUUAUGAAUGUUCCAGGACAUCACAGUAGAUUAGUCAAUGGCUUCUGCAGGGCUGCAAAGCAGUUAGGCAGGUAGGCAACAUGUGAGAGUUCCCUAUAAACAUGGAAGAUUUUAUGUACAUGCAGUACACUAAAUUGUAAUGAAUAUAAAUACAGGAAAUUGUUGUAGUUGUAAUAUCUUUCCCAAACCCUUUGGCUCUAAGCAUCAAAGUUUCAGUGUUAACAGUACAUUAAAGGCUGACUUUGCUAUUGUAGGAAACACCAUACAGCAUCAACCAAAGCUCAAAAUGACAUUAAAGUGCAAGCUUUGACACUUGGGUGUAUGCUACAAAUGGACCAGAUCAAUUUGCUUAAUAUAUUUAGCCCUACUAAAAAUAUACUAAUAACCGUGUAUGAGGGCCACAAAAUGAGUCAUGAAAAGCAAAUGGAAACUUGCUUAAGAACUCUAUCCACAGUGCAUAUUGUUCCCAAGGUGCCUUUUUGGAGUUGCUUGCCAGCUAAAAAUAUGUAUUUGCUGCAUUAGGGAUGUUUGAAGAAGUCAGUCUUUGAAAUGCCAAUGCAAAUGGACCUGAUCUGCACCUCUUGGACUAAUGUGUGGACCAGAACUUAAUUAUCCACCAACUUUUGCACUUCACAAAUAUCCCAGCGCAGUUCUCAACUAAAAACAAUAAUAAUCAAAAUACCUUUAAUACUCUUUGAAUUCCACUUUGGUGGAAACAUGGGAUCAAAUUAGGUGUGUGCAACAGAACUGCCCAGAGAAAUUUUUACUGGCCUUAUUCAAAUUCUUUAGGCUUCCCACAAAAUUCCCCAAGUGAUUCACCUGAUGGAGAACUCCUAAAUUAAGGUUACCAGAUUUUUUUCAAUGAAUCCGGGGACACUUUAAAUACAUACAUACAUACAUACUUACAACACGUUCGAGAUGUUGAUGGUGGUGGCAGAGGGGCGGCCGCUGCCUUGACCUCAACUGCCACGUUUCCCCUUCCUCCGAUGCUUCUAUCUCCUUUCUCCAUGAGCCUGGGCAGCCCCUGAGUUGUUGGUUCUUCAGUGGUGGUGGUGAGGAAGUGGUGUGCGGUGGGUCAGGCAUGGUGUGAUGCCUCCCUUCCCACCGAAACAGCCCCAAUCCCACUCCUACUUGCAUGCAAGCAGGAGGGGGCAGGGAUCCCUCAGCAGGGAAGGGAGGCUUCCAGUUGCCUAACUGAGAGAUCCCUGCCCCCUCCUGCUUGCACGCAAGCUCUGAUAGGCAGCGUGAAGCCUCCCUUCACAGCUGAGGGAUCACUGCCCUGCUCCUGCUUGCAUGCAAGUAGGAGUUGGGAGGCUGCUCCGAUAGGCAGCAUGAAGCCUCCCUUCACAGCUUAGUUGCUGGGGUCAGGGAAGGUGGAGGCAGCCUCUGGAAGCUGCAUCUUAGAGCCCCUGCACCACCAUCAUAUGGGGACUUCUGAGCAGCUCCUGAAGCCAGCCAGAGCCAACUGCUCUGGGCUGCUGAGACUGCCACUGCUGCGUUUCCUGGGGACAUUAGAUGAAAUCCAGGGACAUUCUGGGGAUGGAAUUUGUCCGGGGACUUAUUCACAUAUCCGGGGACUGCCCCCGGGAAACGAGGAUGUCUGGUAACCCUACCCUAAAUUCACAUCACAUUUCAAUUUUGGCAAAAUGUCAGUGUCAAGCACCUUUUAUAAAGACUGAAAAAGGAACAAGAGCCAGACAUUCAAGAGGUGUAGGAAGACUAGACAGGUUUUAUAUGGAAAAUUGAGAGAUUGAAGAAGGCCACUCCACCCCCUACAGUCACUCUCAUUGUCUAGGAAAUACAUUCCAUCAUUAAAGUGACGAAUACCCCAUCUGCACUAUGCAUUUUAAGCAGUAUCAUACCUGGGAAUUGUAGUUUGUUAAGGGUGUGGAGAAUUGUUAAGAGAUCACCAUUCGCCUUACAGAUCUUUAGUUUCCAGAGUGGUUUAACAGUCAAUGUCUCUUCCCAGGGAACUGUAGGAACUGUAGUUUUGUAAGGGGGAUAGGGGUCUCCUAAGAACUCUCAGCACCCUUAACAAGCUGUCUUUGGGGGAAGCCGUGACUGUUUACAGUGGUAUGAUAUUGCUUUAACUGUAUGGUGCAGAUAGUAUCUUAAGGCUUAGAGAUCAAGGGCACUGAAUGUCUAUCAUCAGAACAUCAUCAUGAGUGUGGGAAAACUUUGUUAUUGCUUCAGAAAGAAAACUGAUCCAUUUUCCGAAGUGAGGGAUAGCUUAGAUUGCUGUGCCCAAGUACACAUCAAAUCAGCUAUUUUGUUCAUUAGAAUAGUUUCCUCCCUGCAUAAUCUCCCUGCAAUAUGGAACAAGUUCAACCUUGUCCCCUUGCCCUUUCAAUAUAUAUUCUCAAUAUGUAUUGCCAGUUACAUCACAUCUUUUGAUAAAUGUUCUGAACAUUGGUAUUGACAGAGCAGGUUGUAGAUAUUUACUAGAACUCACGAUGGGGAGAGAGGGGGAAUUUAUUUACCUUCUGCAUUUCUGUGACAUCUCUUCCCUGCAGCACUUUGAUAUCCCAAGAGCUCUUCCUCUCCAUUAUGAGACAUUUUCAUAUCGGCUGAACACUGCAAGUCUUUGACAGAUUAGCAAAGGCAAAACAAAGUCUCUGAAGUAUGUUAUGUUUAGAAGGCGACGAACCUGCAGAACAAAGAGUGGCAUCCACUGCCAACCCCGGCUGAAUCAUUACAUGCCUCAGCCUUCGGUCCUCCUGAAAGUGUAAAAAGCAAUGACUAGACUUUAUUAUGCAAAAUGCAUGCUACACCACUAUUCACUCUGAGAAUAGAAAUGCAGGUUUCCUGUUCUUUGUUAUGUUAGCUGACAAAACUGUUAGUAUUUCUCCACUUCUCUUUUGCCAAUCCCUUCAGUGCUGGGAAAGUUGUACUCCUAAUUGUGAGUGUAGUUGAGGUGCUUCACAAAGUCCAGAGACUUGCAAAGAUAAGCCUGUAUGCCUGCAGGUGUACUUGUGAGUGCAUGUGGCAGGGGAGGAGGAAUUGGGACUGUGCUUACUGAUCUACAUACACUAUCACUACACCGCAGCCUCCCCCAACGUGCUGCUCAUUAUAUUACUUGGACUACAAUUCCCAUAAUCCAUGACCAUGUUUUUGACUAUAAUUCCCAUCAUCCAUUCCCAUUGCCCAUACUGGAAUGGAUCUAAUGGGAGCUCUAGUCAGUCCAUAAUAUCUGAAGGACACCAGAUUGUUUAUGGCUCCUGUACCCUCUAACUGUUACUCAAAAUGUCUUAUUAGCUUUUGGUCCAUUAUCACCUACUUGGUGCCAUGACUGAGAUGUAAUAUUUAACACUGUCAUCACCAGUCAUAUUCUGAUUUUAUAACUAUUGAAGGGCUGAUAUUUUAAUGUUGCUGUGCCUACACUUCAGAGCUCUCUUCCAGUGGCCGUUAGUAAUGCACCUUCACUAUCUUGUUUUAGACACCUGUUUUUAUUUCAGCAAGUCUAUCCUGCAUAUAGUUUAGUUUUUUAAUGUUUUGCUAAUUUUAUCAGUGUUUCGUUGAUAAUUAAAGUACACUUUUUUUACAGUUUGGAAGCUUUUAGCUGCAUUUUACAGAUAAUUUUGCUGCGUCUCAUGAUUAAAUGGCCUAAAAACCUUUCUUAAUAAAUACAAAUAAAAUAAAUUGAUCACAUGGCCAUCCUAAGUGUCCCAGUUCCCGGUAUGAUUCCAUUUACAGUGGUACCUCAGGUUACAGAUGCUUCAGGUUACAGACUCCGCUAACCCAGAAAUAGUACCUCGGGUUAAGAACUUUGCUUCAGGAUGAGAACAGAAAUCGCGCAGCUAAAGUGGUGCUUCAGGUUAAGAACAGUUUCAGGUUAAGAACAAACCUCCGGAACGAAUUAAGUUCUUAACUCAAGGUACCACUGUACAACUGUACAGUUGCCAGCUCUUGAAAUAAAAGCUUCUGACAACUGGGCAGGAAAGGGGCAGAGUCCAGACUAUAUGAACCCAAAGCCUAGCUAUUUUGGUGUGUCCAAGAAUAGCACAAACAUCAUGGUGACACAAACCCUGUCAGUGGCAAGUCAAGCAAACACUUUGCCCCUGGUCACACCUCCAGAAUUACUGAAAUGCCUCCUGACUUCACAACCUGCAAGUUUUGAGGGACAUUUUGAUUCUCAUUUUUAUCGGCAGAAUGCUGCAAAAACCUAGCAAUAAACAAGCAAUAGCAGACUGGUACAGAAAUGGGAUGGGAUUGUCUUAUGACUGGUGUUACAGAAAUGGAUGGGACUAGGUUAUGGACACUGGCUUCAUGAAUGGCUUUAUAGGGGGGAAAGACAGUUGGGUUGGUCUGGUUCCAUUUCAUGUCAACUUUAAACAGACCGAUCCACCCAUCCCUUUUCCCCAUUGGAACUCAUGUCCUGAUGAGCCAGGAGUUGACAAGUCACUUUUAAAUGGGACUUUUAAUGGGAAGGCAGAGCUCUGAAGUUGGACUCUGCCUGCCAAGUCUUGAGAUAGAAUUACUGAAGACAGAGAUUAUCUGAAAACUCGAGAGGUGGUGGGCUUAAUCACCACCAACUUCUAUGGAUUUAAUUCUUUCUGCUGCUUGAAGGGGAAAUGCUUUGUGGUUUCCUGGGAAAGAAGAGGCAUGUAACAGCUCCCUAAGGCACCAUGUUUCCUGGGAGGUGAUUAGGUCAGCAGGCUCUCAGGUCCUCUUGAGGUCAACUUUAAUAUAGAGAGAACGAGUGUAUGAAAAGUGUAAUCGAGAGAGCUUUUCAUCACAGCUUGUAUCAUGGAAAAUUGACCAUUACACCGAAUAAGGCAACAGGGACAUCUCCUUGCUGCAAGCUUUCCUGGAAAAGGUUAUUAGGAAAUAUUGAUUAGAAGUAAUAAUUACAAUAUGUUGGUCAUAAUGGCUUGACUAUAGGGAAAAUAACUAAACAAUUCAUCUUUGGAUUCCCUUUAAAUUAUUGUCCAGAAAACAAUAGGGAAGUUUUUAAUGCUUGAUGCUGUAUUGUUUUUAAUAUUCAGUUGGAAGCCACCCAGAGUGGCUGGGGAAACCCAGCCAGAUGGGCGGGGUAUAAAUAAUAAAUAAUAAAUUAUUAUUAUUAGAGCAAUCUGCUAAAAUGAGAUAUGGAGUAUACAUCUCAUUAUGGUGGAUAUGUGCUUGCUACUAACAGUGCAAACCAAUACUCUACUCAGGAGUAGGCCCCACUGAGUUGAAUGGAACUUACAGGUAGCUGUCUAAGUAACGCCUCUCUCACACACACAAAUCUGCAGGUGUGUGUAAUUCUGUCCUGCUCUCUAAACACAAAAGUGCCAAAUGCCCUUAGUCUGCAAAGUUAGAAUAUAUUUCAGAAAAGAAAAUGCUUCUUUGUAACAAAUUAAUUGAGGUCUUUCAUUAAACAUGAAUACACCUUUUGAAAAAAUAACUGCAUAGGCACUAAUUGCUAAAAUGAAGUGCAUUACAAUGUUGCCUUCCUUGCUUUUUUGAAGUAAAAAAACUCUCUUUUUUCAUUUUUUUGCCAAGGGAUAUGGUGACUGUACUCCCUUUACAAAAAAGUUAAUUAGAAUUAAUUCAGAAUCUGAUUGAAAUUAUACCGAGGCAUUUGUAAUUCUUUCAGAAUUUUUCGUAAAGGUUGGCCCUGAACAUUAAAACCACACUUUUCUUAAUGCACAAACUAAACCUUUCCAGUAAGAAUAAUUGUUUUACAUAAUCAUUUUAUAUAAUAAUGUCAGUGGGAAUCUCUCCUGCUGUCCUGCUUCAUGAAAUUGAUAAAUUCAACUAGUAAAAAAUCAAAAGACUUGGCUGUGAAUUUUCAGAAGAGCUAAGGUGGGAACUUUGUUGUGAAAGGAGGUUCACAGCUUUUCUCAUAUAGUGCUUUUUCUUUCUUUUCUUUUUCGCAGUGCAAUGGUUCUAAUCAGCCAUGAAGCUCUGUACAUGCAGGGGCUCCCUAGUGCUCUUCAACGUCAGAGGAUGCUUUAGGUGUCAAAAAAAAGGAUGGGGGGAUAUUACAUGUGGCAAUCCAGGCUUCAUUUAACAUAUAUUCCACAGAUCUUAAUACUCAGCAGUAUAAAUACCUAAAAUGUCAUUUACCUCAAGUAAAUAUUGCAGAGCAGAGGUUCCCAAACUUUGGUCUGUGGGCCACCAGUGGUCUGCGAACUUCAUUUAGGUGUCCCAUGUCAUAUUUGUGAGUGUUUUUUGUCUGAAUAGGGGAGAUUGCACACCCAUGACAUUGGAUACAGUAUUCAUAGUGAUUUUCAGUUGUAUUUCUGUUGCUUCUUUUAUUUCUUAUAUUGCAUUAUUAUUUGAAUUCCAGCCGCACCUAGACUGCUGGCAUCAUCAUCUACAUUGUGUGGCAUUAGUGUACGUAGGUGGUUGUGUGCCUUAUUUUACAAAGUAUUGGGAUGUCUGUAUGAACAACUGCAAGAGGAAACUCCUCUAAUUCAGAGAAGAUGGCCAUGGGGCCCUGCAGAUGUGGUUUAACAGCCUCAGCCAGUGAGGCCAACAGUCAGAGAUGAUGGAAGUUAUAGUCCAACAACAUCCGGAAGGCCUCAGGCUUCCCACCCUGAUCUGAUUAAAGUAGUCCUUUUUUUGUUACUUGGGUCAAGCUUGGUUUAAAGAAGAACCAUCUCAAUUGAGAGUAGAGUCCUUUGAAGCAGUUAGUACCUGUCUAGCAGAAUGAUAAAGACAGUCUUUCCUAUUUUGCGGAGAUGUAGUUAUAUUCCAAUUUUAGUGAUUAUUUCUAAAUUUGCAUCUAUACAUAUAAAGUAGCACAUACAAAUGUUACCCAGAUCUCUGUCCUCUUUUUUUGGUGAAGUAUUUCCUCUUUUUUUUUUUUUUUUUGGCAAUAUGUAGGCCAACGUGCACAUGGAGUCAGCAUGGGGCCUUCUGGGUAUUUGUAGACUCCAACUCCCAGCAGGCCUAGCCAGUGUGGCCAAUGAUUAGGGAUGAUGGGAAUUGCAGUCUGACUAUAUUUGGAGGGUACCACACUGGUCCAUAUUGGUCCAUUCCAACACAGGGUUCUUUAGCAGAUUCCACCAAGACCUCCUGACACUCGCCUGUGAGGUUAUGCAAUUUCCCCUCUCUCAGUGUUGUCUUAUAUCCUAGUAGCCAAUUCAUUGGCUGCUACCGAUGAAUGCCUGCCUGCUUCAUUUAGAUAUUGUGAAGGUAUUGACGGUUGUUGGUCAUUUGAUUACCGAGAGAAAAGGAGCUGGUAGAGAGGAAGAAAUAUUAAGCCAAUUUCAAAUAAAAGGCAUUGGUGGGGGGGAGGACAAAAAAGAGAAAAGUCUCGGUGCUGAUUGAGCUACUGUGCUGCAUGUAUAUUAAUGACAUUAUCCUUGCACAGUGACACAUCCCAUAGUACAAGAAGCAUUUUGCAUCAAUCGUUGUCAGCCAGGUUUUCAUUACAGUAUUUACGAAAGCACUGCGUAUCUUGAGCUGAAUACAAUUCAUAUUUUAUGUAUUCCUUUUUUAUGAUCGUAGGCACUGGCAAUUAUUAACAUGCAGUGUCUCAGCACAGGAAAUAGAAGAGCUCAAUGUUGAUUUAAAAGAAAGGGCUACUGUGCCAUGUUCUCUUAUCUGCUUCCGAGCAGAUAGAAGGAGCCCAAGCAGUUUAAUCUCAGAGCAAAACCAAUCCUAGUUUUCCCCUCAGGUGCUGCAUGCACAAAAAGGCAAUAAAACAGAAUAAAAUGCUCCCACCCACCGAAACACCCAUCCAGAUAAAUUGAUGUCAGUAUGAAAUGUUCAUUACUAAUGUGAUGCUAAAUGAACAGAUUAUUUCUUUUUACCAGACAGGUGAGGAUACACCAUGGAAAUAAGAGCAAUGCAAACAAAAAUAUGAGGAAAUUAUUAUGAACUCCUUUACCAGUCUUCCCACUCAAUGAAGGAAGUCAGGUGUGGAACCAAUAGGGGUUGCGGUUGGGGAAGAGGCUGGCACAUGCUGCCCCAUGUUCCCUCCACACUCGCCCACUCCCAUUUCUUAAUGCCUGGACAAAGCCUCUCUCUCUUUCUCAAGAUAAGGAUUUUCUUCACAGGGGAGGUGCAGGGACUGGCAAGUUGGAUGGUGAAAUGGAAGGAAAGAUGUAGGAGAUAAGAGAGGCUGUUGACUCACCUGGGAGAGGCUAAUCCUGGUGAGUCUAGCAUGAUGAAGGGUUGGCUGGUUUUGCGUGUUCAGACCCAGAGACCUCCCCCCUAAAUAAAGACACACUUGAUUCAAAUUUUAGUUUUGGUUUUUGGCAGAAUUUAGGCCACAACUUUAUUGAUUACAGAAGGUGAGUCGUUGUAUAGGCUCUGGUUCGACUAGCUCCCUUCACCCUUGCAGGCAGCGCUGACCCAGGGCACCAGCGUAGGUCAGCCAAGGGUGAACACCUGGGUAGACGAAAAGCCGGGACGGGAACAGACUAUGUUCACCACCCAGAUGCCCCCCGGGACUCAGGCAUGGGCACAACCCCCCCUCAGGGGUUGACCAAACCAUUUGAGUCCCUGGAUUCCUUACCCUUCACAUAGGGAUGGCGAGAGCGUUCUCCCAUCCCUAUCACCUGAACCAGUGCCUAUCCGCAACCUUACAAGUUGUGACGAUUUGCUACGCAGCAGGCGAAACCCAAAUGGCAACAGCCAAUCAGCCAAGUGGGGGAAAUCCCUGCCGUGCCCCUGUCCCAAUGACAGAACACACACCACGGCAUAGCAAGGUCAAUCACAAAAUGCCCUAUAAGUAGGGAGAGGUGGGCGGGUGUUCCGAAUGCACGAGCCGAAAGAGGAAGCUCUGGGUCACGUGCAUGGGUAUAUAUAGGUCCCUCGAUCUGUUUGGACUGCGCCCCAUUGGCCAGAUUGAACCCAACAUCGAGGGACCUACCAAUCGGGUGUUGUGGCUGUCGAAUCUUACCCACCCACAACACAGGAGGUUGGUCUCCAGGUCUCACGGCAACAUGUGCCCUCUUUAAGGGAAGACACGAUUUAGCAUGUCAGUGGCUGGGGCCUAGUGAGCAGCAUGUGGAGCCAACUGAAGUAAAAUCCUAACUGUCUGCUGUAUAACUUCCUCUUCCCUGAUAUCUCAUUAUAAUGUCUGGCAGAAUGUGACUGACCUUUAACAAUAGGGCCAUGACUGUGACCUCAUAAUGUAGGUGUCUGUCAAAUAUAAUUUCAGGAUUUGUUAUUUUUUCAUCAGGUACAUUCUACUCUCAGUGCGCCCCCUCUUGCUUUCUGGUGAAAAUAUAUCCAGAGAUUUAAAAGCAGUUAGGUUUAAAGCUUAAUGGAUAUUAUAAGGUAAAUUGAAAAGAAUAUUCUAUCCAAGAUUUGAGGACAUUGACUUAUUAAUAAGACUUUGUAAUGAGACAGCUUUGCACUACUUUCUGAUUCUACCGGCUGUCUGACUUGGGCGCCUGACAUACAUUUUGCUAAAUCCAGUAUUAAAGCUUCAAAACUGUGUUCUUCCAUUUCCAAAUGAAAGGUGUUAAAUGGAGGUUAUUUUUCAAUUAAGCCAUUUCUCUUUCAGAGAAAUGUAUGACUGGGAGACAGACCAGUAAAAUCUCUCUCUCUUUCUCUCUUUUUAAGGGACAUCCUUACAAUGGCCAGAGCCUGUAGAAAGCAGAAUCGAACUCCCUUCUUGUCAGCUGAUGAGCAAUCUAAAUUCAGUCUUGAUUUUUGCAGAGAUUGGCUGCACCAGUGAUCUCCCCAAGGGAAACUCACUUGUGUAGCUGAACCAACCAUGACUGAACUCCCCACCCAUCAGUUGAUAUAUGGGGAGUUCAAACCUGCUUUCUCUGGGGAUUGGCUGUAUAAGCAGCCACCCACCUUCAUCUCUGCUUACCCACAGACACCUAAUGAUGUCAGGUGUGCAGCAGAUGGGCAUUAUCUGGGCAAAGGCAGAUUUGGGGCAGCAUGUCUGGUUCUACCACACUGGGUGCUGCUGCAGGGAACUGCAACUAUAACAAUAGUGAAUUGAGCGGAACAGAAGGCAAGAGGUGGGGAUUUUCGCCUCACACAGUGCACUGCUGAAAUUUGAAAAACCAAAGUCUGUGUCUAAUUUGGGGGAAAUGGCCUUGUAGGCAAAAUGGAGAGGCAGAACAGGUUAAAUGUGCCCCACAGGCAGAGGCUCCCCACCCCUAUCCUACGAGGUGGUGUCAACUGAGAUUAUAAUCUUUUGUAUUGCUAGUGAAUGGCCAGCUGGCAUUUCCACAAAUCACUGAAGAUGCAUGUCCAAUGGAUUUUGAUGACUAGAAGUAGUAAUGGGGUUGAUUUUUGAAUGGGGGGGGGGGAAGGGUGUGGAAAUGAAUGUUUCUGAUUUGGAAUCCUCAAACCCUUGGCCUUAGUUUUCACCUCUUCCCUUGCCACUCAGAUAUACUCGGCACCAGCAGUGAUGGGACAGUUGGAAAGGGCCUUCCAUUGUGCUAAAUGCUACUGCAGAAGCAUCUUAGGGACCAUGACCCCUGGGAAUAUUUGAUGUUAGUCAUACUCAGGAAAGACCCACUGAAAGUAAUUUACAUGACUAACUUUGGUCCAUUCAUGUCAGUUGGUCUAUUCCGAGUACAACCUUGUCAAGUACAACCAAUUGUUUGUUUGUUUUGAUAGGUGGUAUUUGGUGUCUGUCUGUGUGUGUGUGUGUAUGUGUGUUGGCUGCUGAUUAAUCAUUGAUAUCUGAAAUAAGGCAAGUCAUAAUGCCAGUAUUAUUAUUUUGACAUUAGAUGAGUGUACAUAUUUUAUUCCAAUAUGCAGGAGGGAUGUCUAUGCCUUAUACCAGUUCAGACCGCUGGCCUUUCUGUCUCAGCAUUCUCCACACUGACUUGGCAGUGGCUUUCCAGAGUUUCCAGAUAGGAGCUUUUUCCAGCCCUACAUGGGGAUUGACAACUGUGCUUCCUUAAGAACCUUUCCCCAACAGAUGCCAAAAAAUCUAAAGUACUUGCAUGCUAAAAUAAGUUUUCACAUUCAACAUGUAAAUCUGAUUUUUUAAAAAUAAAAUAAAAUAUUGUGUCCAAAAUUUCGGUUGUGAAUUGGGAAAUUUCAGUAAAUUUAAAAUAUUUUGAAUAUUUCUUCCAGUUCUGGUUUCAUUUGUGUCUAAAUAGCCUAACUCUGUUAGGCUCAUUGUAAGUCAUUGUGAGAUAGCUUUAGUCCAGUAAUAGGAAUUCUGAAACCUGAAGCCUUGCUUUAGCUUGGGAAAUUCAUGUUACUUGGUUAAACUUUGCUCAUAAAGCAUUUGCCGGAGGAUGAUUAAAUGGCCAGAUUGUUUUCAUUCUUUCUUCAGGGAUGUCUUGCUCUCAGUCAUUUUGUCAUAAAAAUUAAGAGCCAAAUCAAUUAAAAGAUAAUUAGGGGGUGUUAUUUUCCCCUUUCUUGUCAUAAGCACACAACUUGCCCUUUUUGUAGGUCUUCUGAUUUUACGGUUGUGGAAUUGAACAUUUGAGCUGAGGGAUAGUUCCACUCAUUAACAUGACAGCUAAUGAACAGGUCUUUGCCAGCGUAUUCCUUUAUCUGGAUCCCAACAGUUGUUCUCUGUCUGGGAUGAGAAGCAUGAACAUCAACAGUCCAUCAAACCAUGUUUAGAAGGGUGAAGGGGGAGAAGGAUGUUUUAUUUAAAAACACACACACACAAAACACUAUACUAUGCAGGGGUGAGUAUUUCGAGCAAAUCUGUUUCUUCUAAACCCCCCCUCCCUUUUACAAUAAUCGGUAGCUUUCUUUCCAAAGGUCAUUCUUUGAACUGUUACUAGGAAUUUGAUUUUGGGGAUACAGUCCUUGAAAGUAGGUUAUUAAUAUAUGAAUAAGUGCAUUUGGUUAUUAUCAUUUUUCUUGAAGUGCUUUUAGAUUAUAAUGGCAAAAACAAAGGGCAUGAUCCACCUUAUUUUUAGGUCAUUAUUGAUCUUGUUAAUCUCACAUAAAGGAGACUUACAACUGCUUUAACUUUGGGUGGGUUACACUCAUACCCAUAGAUAUGGGGCUGAGUCAAUUGUUUAAGACCACCUACAAAUGUCCAGCUGAUAUGUUUAAAUCCAGAGUGUAGCUCUUAAUGCGGUUUGGUUAGGAGAGAAUAUCUGAAGAUGCCGUCUACUAAGUCAGAAUAUUUGCACAUGUCCUUUGGAUGUUUGUGCAUGUACAAGCAUUUGUUCAUAUAGCCUCUGACUCACCAAGGUCUCGGACAAAAUGUCUUUCCCAGGUAGUUGUGGUCUACUAUCUGUUGAUACCAGGGACAUGCCCAGGGACUUUCUGCAUACAGAAGCACUCACCCUCCUGCUUAAAUGUGAUGCAAUGCAAGGAGGUCAAAUUGAUAAACAGGGCAUUAGAGUUUGUGUCAGUGAUGAUGAUAUCAAUGAGUUACGUUGCGCUAUUUUUGAGAAAAGUGGCAGAUGUGUGCAUCACUCUCACAACAUUCUGAUCAUGCCUCUGACUGCUGGUGGAUUUUGUAAAAAAUAUUAUUAUUGCUUCUCUUGCUUGCCUUUUAAAUCCUAGUGCAAGACAUAAAAAUAUUCUAAUCUUUCUUUGAAUGCUGGGAUCCGACAGAGUUUGGGGAUUUGCAGUGUGACGAGUUAUGAGAAAGUUAAUUUGAAAUGUGAUGACAAAUAGCAGCAAUAACAUCCCACAAAAUUUCCCCAUUUGCUUCAAACGGUGAAAAUAGUUGGAAAGAUCUCCAGGUGCCUCGAAGAAGUCAACGUAUAUUAGUGAAAAUACAAAUAGCAGUGCAUUUUUAAGAGGAAAUAUAUUAGAGCUUUCAGCGUUAAUCCUUUAAAGUCCUUGUUGUUUCUCUUGGUAUUUGUUAGAGUAGAAGCAGGGGACCUUUGAACCGGUUGCAUGAGACCUGCUUAUCUAGGAGAGGUUCCUGUGCACCUGGGGCCAUGUUUAGUUGACCAGACUAUGAUGGGCAGUGAUUGAGACCCAUAUUACCAGCUCCUACUGGUACGGAUGAAUUUUCUGCGUGGUUGCUUGGACAAAACUGACUCCAUGGCUCCAUGUGCCAAAAUACCUAUACUUGCAUAUAGUGAGCAAAAAAAUGCAUAUAUCUGUGAGAUUUUCAUAUACAAAUGCAUUAUGUAAGGCAGAAUCACUUAGGGUGCAAGUAGAUAAAUAGGUACCGCUUUAUAGCGGGAAGGAAAACGGUGUUUCCGUGUGCUGCGCUGGUGCUGGCUCGCCAGAGCAGCUUCGUCACGCUGGCCACGUGACCCAGAAGUGUCUCCGGACAGCGCUGGCCCCCGGCCUCUUAAGUGAGAUGGGCGCACAACCCUAGAGUCGGACACGACUGGCCCGUACGGGCAGGGGUACCUUUACCUUUAAGGCAGAAUCGCAUUCAGAGCUGUGUUCUGUAUUAGAUUUCAAGCCAACUCGAAAGGCAUGGGAACUACCAUAGAGUAAGUAACUCAUCUGUGUUCUAACCUACUAGUCUGCAAUUCUAGUGGGUCAUAGCUUGAUCCAAGGUGGGUUGCUGCAGAAGCACUACCACCAUGCAAAUAUACAAUAAAAGAUUAAGAAAUGGCUCUCCCAAUGUCUUAAGUGGGUCCUGGGGCUGAAAUACUAUUCCUGUAACCCACUUUGUGCCUGGUAAGUUUUGUUAGGUUGUGAAUCUGCCACCUCCUGGCACACUUCCAGUGCUUCACCAUAUGUGAUUUUGAUGUACUACAUUUUUUUUACCAAGCAUGGAGGGUAUUGAUGGAAGGCAGUGUUAGCUGAUCAAUAGGAGCAGAAUUCAGGUGGUUGUAAAAAAAAUGCAGUGACGGUAUAGGUGCAUCCUAAAAUCAAUAAAGAAGAGUGGUUCUUCAUAAACUAAAAUGAAGAACCAUUACCCACUCCAGCUAAAUCACAUUCUGUGUUGGAUCGUUCGCAGCACUGGGAGCUGGUGAGCAUAAAACCAAGAUGGUGCAGAAAUCAAGCAGUUGACAUAGUAAGAGAUGGAAUAUAGACCAAGGAGCAGAUUUUACUGAUUGGUAAAUUAGAACAGCAGUUACAUAAACUGCCAGGGCCACAAAAGCUGCUUGAAAUCAUAUAAGUAUGGGAAAGUGUUGAAUGGUUUCAGUUUUGUCUCCCUUCUUGGAAACAUGUUAGAUACUUUGCUUUCCUAAGUGGCAUGCUGUUCUGGCGAUUUUUCAGAUUCAAGAAGUAAGUCAAAAUGCGUGAACUUGGAAAGGUAUGAUUGAAUGUACUUUGGUGAUUCUUUGGGGGAACCUUAUGAGGGUCACAUGUCAGUGGUUGGCAGAGUUAGAGGCAGCAAUGGGUGACACACUAAAUGUUUUACCUUUGUAUAGUAGACUAGUUUCUACAGACUCUCUCUAUCCCCCAACCAGACAAGCAAGAGGCAUUAUCAGAGCGCUAGGCUACAUUCCAGUCAGGCAAAAGCACUCAGGGUGAGAGGCAGGGCCAGUGGUGUGUGUGUUUCCCCUGGGAGAGUAGAGGGAGAACUCCAUGGUCCAGACAGACUGACCUGGAAGACUUUGUCCCCUGUGCUGAGGUUUCCCCAGUCCUGUUCUGCAUAUUAAGCAUUAGGCUUAAUGUCUUAAGGAAGAAAAGGAGAUAGCAGUAAAAGGAAAAUCACAAUAACCCUUUAAAAAUGUAGAGUUCUCAACAUCAUUUUAGGCAUGAUUUUAGUUUCUCACAGGAUAAGAUCCAGAGUCCCCAGGAGUGGAACUCUGAUCAUGGGCUACUCCUGCUUGAAAGAAGCCAUUUGUGCUGGUUCUUCUUCCUGCCUGCAGACCCCCCCCCCCAAAGUUGCUCCAUAGGCUUAAGACUUAUGUUGGAGGUGGUAUGGGAGGCUGCAGGGAGAACUCUCAGGACUUCCUCCAGCAGUAUUGCUUUUCAGCCUUUUGGCUAAGAUGAAGUGUAGGACUUUCUCCAGCAGAAGCUUCUGCUGGAUCUCAGUUCCUUCUGCACAUGAAAACAGCCCUUCAUUUUGCAGAAAGAAAACUGUAAAUAACCCAAAACAGUUGAAAGGAGUUCACUUCUGAAGACCACUCUGGGUUGAGGACUGAAAUUGUCUGCUACUCUCCGAAAAUGUUAACAAUAAAAGAUAUACAAUUUUCCUCCACUACACAGUUGUCUUCUGGGUUUUUCCCCUGGAUGCUUAUUGCAAAUGUUUGAUCCAUUUUGUUGUCAUCAACAUGUUAUCUCAACCAGCAGGACCUGUCUAUUGCAGUACUUUUCAUUUUCUUUUGAUGUGGUUGUCCCCAUUUGCCUCCUCUUGCACCUUUGCUGAUGCUCAUACAUUUGUGGUAAUGUUUGCAAAAGCAAAAAAGAGGCACUGCAGCUCCCAAGUGGGUCAUCUGCCUAGGAUUCAACUGCCCCCCUGCUGGUCUUCUCAUAGAGCAGGCUUAUUUUACAGUAUGUGUAGAAGAACACUUCUCGGUAUGGGAUAUUUCCACACACCCUUUACACAUAUCUAUCCCACUAGGUUAAUUCCAAUGAAGUGCAGAAUAUGCCAAUUUACAUGGAGAAAAUAUCUGGAGUAGAGAUAUGAUUAGCUAGCAUUUAUCCACAUUCAACAGGCUAGAAGUAGGCCCAUCCAGUUGUCAGGAACAGGUCAGCAAUAAAACACCUGGCAUCAGUGAAGUUAACUCAUUAUUCAAAGAAGUCAAAACAGCUCAGGCCUCGGGAUCACUGUCCAGUAAGUCUUCUCUCAAUGAGGCAGUUGCAAGGAUUGAAGGUCCCUGCCUUCCUACUUCUCUCUAAGACUCCUCCCCCAACAACCUGUGGCUCCUUUUCCUUGUCUCUCUUUGCUCCACCCUUUUCAUUCCUCUUUGUGUUUUGUGAGUCUGGGGGGUGGGUGGGUCUGGGGGGUGGGUGGAAGAGAGACUCCCUGGCUUCUUAAGCAGCCUGCUUCUCCUCUGCCUCUUGGCCUCCCUCUUCUCCAGCCUCUGCUUCUGCCUUGUGAUUCUGGAUUGCUCUCUGCCCCAGCCUUUCCCUACUCACUAAACCCUGUUGCUUCAUUAGCUUCUGUUCCCUCUGACCACUCAUCAUUGUCCCACCACCAAUCUCUUGGCUUCCUUGGGGGUUAUCCAGCUGGUGCCUCCCACUUCUCCCCUACAUCCAGCUAGUUCAUUACACCACUAGACUAAUUGAAACUCUUUUUUCCUUCCCUUGAAAUUGCUCAGCUUUUUCUGACAGUGAGCAUCUUCGAAAUAAGUCUCAAAUUUUUAUGUUAGGCAAAAUAUAGCAAGGCUUGAAAGGGCUGGUUUGGGGAAAGGCUAUUGUUCAGUGGCAGACCACAUGCUUUGCUUCUGGAAGGUCCAAAGUUCAAUCCCUGACAUCUCCAGGUAAGACUGGAGAAAACUCCUGUCUGAAAUCCUGGAGAGCUACUGCCAGUCAUUUUAGACCAACCUUCUCUAGGCCUGUGACCAGCACUUGUUUUGGGCUGCAACUCCUAUCAUCUCCCAUCCAGGGUGGUCAAUUGAUAAUGGGUGUAGUUCAACAUAUCUUUAGGGCACUAAGUUGGGGAAGGGUGUUGUGGUUAAUAUGGAGCUAGAUGGUCCAAUGGCCUGACUUGACAUGAGGAAUAUUUCCUAUGUGCUUGGAUGAACAUUCUUGAUAGUUUUACCAAAUUGCACCAAAAAUGUCUACUGCAGCUCCUUAGAAGUGACUGCUCCACUAAAACAUACCCAGCUCUGCAGUGAGUGUGUGCCCUUCACUUGCCCAGUGCUUCCAAAAUAAAUAGCUGUUAAUAAAAGCUAAGAAACAAUAGAAGUAGAAAACUUACAAAGCAUGCAGCUUUGGGGAACUCUGAACUUCAAGCACCGCAGAUCAAAGGAGCUUUUGUGGCUUCCUUAGAUUUAGUUUCAAGUGGCCGUAUCUGAGUUCUUAAAAGAAGCAGAAAUGAACACGUCAAAAGACAUCCACUGUGCCGGUUUGCACUGAAUCUAGGCUAAUAUUAGUUGGGUUUUUGAAGUAUAUGUAAAUGCCAGAUUGAAGUAGCAAACAAAUUGGGAAAGGAUAGAACAAACGUCUAAUUAUAGUGCCUAAUAACUUAAAGGACAGAGUACAAUGGACUCCUGUUACAGCUAGUUCUCACACAUGAACUGGAGCUUUAAAAUGGUAACGUUACUCUAGCUACUGAAAGGAGACAAACUGAAAUGUGCUAAUUGCGGUGCGAGUUAUGACAUACCUUUUAAAGAACUCCCUUGAAAGUUUGCAUGGUCUGCAUCUGGGGAACGAAGCAUAUUUAGGUUUCUCUCUGUCACUUCUUUUUUCUCUCAGCCUUUCAUGCAUGCAUAGUUUAAGAGAUUAGCAUGAAUAGAUUUUCGAGUUGCGUGUAUGAGAACCUGACAUUGUGCAUUGUGCUGUGUCUUUACAACAGAAGAGAAGCUUUGCUGGUUGAAUUUUACCUUUCAGCAGAUGAGUUUUCUUUCUAAAAGGAAGGUUUUUAAUGUGUCUUCUCUUGGGGGAGAAACAUAAUUGCAGGGGCGGGACGGAGAUUGCAUCCUGGUGCUUCUUUAUAAUUUAAUAUGGGUCAGCUUGUGUGCAAGUGAGGGUUUUCCCUGGAGAACAUGGUUGGUACUCUGAUCUCAGCUUUGGACCUGUUUUAUGUUACAAGGAGGAAGGUGGGCUCCCACUUCGCUGUGGCUCGAUUUUACUCCUGUUCAAGAAUUUAUCAGAGUGAUAAUCAUGCCAUCAUGAGGGUAGGAUGACUGCUGAGAGUACUUUCUCUAAUAAUGUCACUAAUACCUGGGGGAAGAGCAACAUUGGUGUGAGAAGUAGCCUGGCCUACCUAAUUACUUUCCUUAGAAAUUCCAUAUAGGAAGCUGCCUUGCAAGUGAGAUUUUUUUUGUCACUGAGCCUGUAUUAUUUCUGUGACACAAACUUUGGGAAGAGGCAUAGUUCAGUGGAAGAGCAUCUGUUUUGCAUGCAGAAUGUACCAGGUUAAAUCCUCUAGGGAGAACCAGGAGAGCAUCUGUUUGAAAUGUUGCAGUGCCACUGCCAUUCAGUGUAGACAAUGCUGAGCUAGAUGGACCAACAGUCUGAUUCAGCAUAAGGCAGUUUCCUGUGCUCCUAAGACUUACCAAAAGGUCCCCUGGGUCUGAGAGGGAGAUAUUUCACAUGUUACCUGAUCCUGGAGUUAUAGCAUGCUCUCUACCACUGAACUUUCACAGUGACUGCAAAAGUCCUCCAUCCUUUGCUUAGUAUGCCUAAAGAUUUCUGACAGCUUUUGAUAUUUGUCUAAAUCAGCCAUCGGUGAAAAUGCCUAGUCUGUUGCAAAGCUGCAGACAUUACAGGGAACAUUUUGCAUCCUCCAAGCUGCCUUGCUGUUAAUACGUUCUGUUACUAAUAUUUCAUCUCCUCCCUUUUUCUGUUUUCUUUGCCCCAGGCUACAUAUCUAAACAAAAUGGUGAGCCAAACUCUCAACACAAAGGACAGAAAGUCAGCACAUACACCCACCGAGGACCAUUUUAGAUAUUUGCCGGGCAACCAAGUAACCUCCCACGAAAGCAAAAGCUGCCAGCUGUCAAGUGUGUGCCUCAGCAGCCUCCUGAAAGAAAAAGAAAUUGUGGAGGUUCUCAAGCACACAAGAGAGACUUAUGAAGCCCUGACUUCAGAGGUCAGCCAGAACGGCUUAGAAGGAGAAGCGCAAAGUGGCUUGAAGCCGACAGCCAAGGCCGAGAAUCUCCCUGCUUUUCCCGGGGCUCUGAAAGAUCAAUCUCCUGUCCCUCGGCAACAUUCCACUUUCAUAGGGAGGCUGGGACAGCCUCCGAGAGGACCAAUCUCCUUACACAUGUACAGCAGGAAAAACGUUUUUCUUCACCACAACCUUCACACAUCUGAGCUUCAGACUUUGGGCCAGCAAGAUGGGUAAACAGAGUUGGCAAGUAUUUAUUGAAGACAGAGUCCUACAUUUGGCUUAAGGGGCCACGAUGCUAAUUUAAAACUGACUUUUUAAUUUCUCAUCAGCUGCUACC